CUUGGGUCAGGCUGGCCACACCACCUGGCUCCAGGGGGGUACACACACCUAGGCCUGUCCAAUGAGGUAACACAUCCUCUUGGCCACAGUGAUUAGUUCAUUGUGGGCAUGGACCCUAGUGUGGCCGACCAGAAAGAACUCUGUCACUUUUGCUGGAAAGAUCAGGAAAGAAAUGGUGCCUCUAUCCUGCUGUGGUUGCACAGCAGGAGGUCGUCUCUUCUUCCAUUUGGGGAUAGCCUGCCAGAGAGAUACCAAGAGAAGGCAGAGCUGAAGAUGGUGACAAACAGCUACUUGACAACAUCACUGAUGGUCUGGAUCCAGCCAUUCCUGAAGCCAUGGGGGGCCUGAGACGGAGCAGGCUCAGUGGACCACUACGUCUUGGACGUAGGAAAAACAUUUCUCCGAACACCUGCCUCGCUUUCUGCCUUACACACUCAGCUGCUGGAGCGCACCCAGCCUGCAGGCAGUGCAGCUGCAAGGCCCGGAAUUGAAGUCUCCCCAGGAACAUCCUCAACCAAGACUGUUAGUGGUUGGGGGAUAAAGACCCCAGCUGCCUCCUCCCAGGUGUGGUAACUUGGAGGCGUGCUCUCGACCAUCUCUCAGAGGCCGUCACAGGACUGAGCCUCAGUUGCCCACAGUGGUAACUGGCUUGAAAACACACCCUAUCUUUCUGCCCUCCCUCUCCUGGCUCACGUCCUCACUCCCCUGGUCAGAUUUUCCUGGGAUCACCCCCUAAAUAAACGACUUGCAC
rnacentral:lncRNA from 1 species